AUGAACGCUGGCGGCGUGCCUAAUACAUGCAAGUCGAGCGAACAGACGAGGAGCUUGCUCCUCUGACGUUAGCGGCGGACGGGUGAGUAACACGUGGAUAACCUACCUAUAAGACUGGGAUAACUUCGGGAAACCGGAGCUAAUACCGGAUAAUAUAUUGAACUUCAUGGUUCAAUAGUGAAAGACGGUUUUGCUGUCACUUAUAGAUGGAUCCGCGCCGCAUUAGCUAGUUGGUAAGGUAACGGCUUACCAAGGCGACGAUGCGUAGCUGACCUGAGAGGGUGAUCGGCCACACUGGAACUGAGACACGGUCCAGACUCCUACGGGAGGCAGCAGUAGGGAAUCUUCCGCAAUGGGCGAAAGCUUGACGGAGCAACGCCGCGUGAGUGAUGAAGGUCUUCGGAUCGUAAAACUCUGUUAUUAGGGAAGAACAAAUGUGUAAGUAACUAUGCACGUCUUGACGGUACCUAAUCAGAAAGCCACGGCUAACUACGUG
rnacentral:rRNA from 1 species